rnacentral:rRNA from 1 species
GGACAUCCUCCAAAACNUAGUGGCUAAUACACGCAANCCCAANUCUGCCACGANAGUGUGUGGCCUGCAAUCCAUGUCUCGCCUCACANGCGGUGGAUGGCGCCCAGCUGCUGCAAAGACCAGCGCCUGGGAAAGGCAGCAUGUCCUUGGCUGACUCAGGCUGGUCCCUCUGGGACAACUGCGCUGGCGGAGUGGAAGGCAUCCAGCCUUCAGCACUGCUUGAUCACAAGAACUUCUGACCUAUCANCUUGGNCUGUGGUGCAGUGGACCACAGUGGCCUUGACAGGUAACGGAGAAUCAGGGUUNGAUUCCGGAGAGGGAGCCUGAGAGACGGCUGCCACUACCAAGGUGGGCAGCAGGCGCGCAAAUUNCCCAAUGNUNAGACAUGCCUGGCGAGGCAGCAACGAACNGUAGCAAUUCCGCCUGUCCUCGCGNUGGGCNNAACUUGCAAUGGAUGCNAUCCAAACCCAGUGAUGAACAUUGCUGUUGUUAAACACUUGUAGUCGGNUGCUGGGUUGCAGGUCUGUUGGAGGCANCUGNGGGUUGCACACCUUGUGUCUUCNGNCAUGGGGCUGGGUGGCCUUCUUGCUGAUACAACCUCCANCANUAUGUCCCUGCACCCGUCUCAGACGGUGUGAAUGGCUCCUGCUCCAAGUCUCCUUCAGUGGGGAUCGAUGCNGUUGUAUACCCAACGCUUGUGUGUUGACGGCCGGGGGGCACAGCCCAGUGCUGUGCANAUACCCUCAGUCCACCACCGGAGUCCACUGUCACUGACACCGUGNAAAACUCANUGUGCUCAAAGCAUCCCUUUGGCUGGA